AGUGAACGCUGGCGGUAGGCCUAACACAUGCAAGUCGAACGUCAGCACAGUAAGAGCUUGCUCUUACGGGUGGCGAGUGGCGGACGGGUGAGGAAUACAUCGGAAUCUACUUUUUCGUGGGGGAUAACGUAGGGAAACUUACGCUAAUACCGCAUACGACCUACGGGUGAAAGCAGGGGAUCUUCGGACCUUGCGCGAUUGAAUGAGCCGAUGUCGGAUUAGCUAGUUGGCGGGGUGAAGGCCCACCAAGGCGACGAUCCGUAGCUGGUCUGAGAGGAUGAUCAGCCACACUGGAACUGAGACACGGUCCAGACUCCUACGGGAGGCAGCAGUGGGGAAUAUUGGACAAUGGGCGCAAGCCUGAUCCAGCCAUACCGCGUGGGUGAAGAAGGCCUUCGGGUUGUAAAGCCCUUUUGUUGGGAAAGAAAAGCAGCAGGUUAAUACCCCGCUGUUCUGACGGUACCCAAAGAAUAAGCACCGGCUAACUUCGUG
rnacentral:rRNA from 1 species